UGAAAUUCAUAUGAAAAAGAUGAGUACUCUUAGACUCCCAAAUCUGAAGUGGCAUUUAAAUUGAAGCCCUUUUCUUAAUGUCAGAGACGCUUUCUGACAUUCCUUAUGCAUUCUGCAAAGCUUUAUUGGAUUUUUCAGUCUAUUUUAAAGACUAGGAUGUCUGUACCUACAGCGGAGUAAGGCAGCUCAUUUGCCUAAAAUGUCUGGGAAAUCAUUCCAAAGAAAUUACUGAGAGUAUUCUCUUCUGAUAUAAAAGAGUAAGGUUUAUUCACCCAGAACUUGGGUUUCUUUGAGAUGUUGAGUGUCCCUUUUAAGACUUAAAGGCUUCUUUUAUUCAGUAAGAUUUCAUCCCAGCUGGAGUCAUGGGACCCGCUGAUCUGGAGCCCUUAUUGAAUUGACAGCAUCCACAUGCAGAAUUUCAGGGCUUUUGGUCCCCUGCUUUGUGGACAGGGAUAACAGGAUCACCCACAGGACUUACCCACAGGGUAA
rnacentral:lncRNA from 1 species